rnacentral:rRNA from 1 species
UACAGAGGGGGCAAGCGUUGUUCGGAAUUACUGGGCGUAAAGGCGCGUAGGCGGCCACCGCAAGUCGACUGUGAAAUCUCCGGGCUUAACCCGGAAAGGUCAGCCGAUACUGCGGGGCUAGAGUGCAGAAGGGGCAACUGGAAUUCUCGGUGUAGCGGUGAAAUGCGUAGAUAUCGAGAGGAACACCUGCGGCGAAGGCGGGUUGCUGGGCUGACACUGACGCUGAGGCGCGAAAGCUAGGGGAGCGAACGGG